rnacentral:snoRNA from 1 species
GCAAGCUCUCAAGAAUACUCUCUUGUGGUUCCCAUGCCAGAGCAAAUGUGGCCCCAAACUGUGGCCUCGCUGCUAUGCCCAUAGGCUGCUGGCACCAGUGCAAGAUGCACAGUG